rnacentral:rRNA from 1 species
GACGAACGCUGGCGGCGUGCUUAACACAUGCAAGUCGAACGGAAAGGCCCUGCUUUUGUGGGGUGCUCGAGUGGCGAACGGGUGAGUAACACGUGAGUAACCUGCCCUUGACUUUGGGAUAACUUCAGGAAACUGGGGCUAAUACCGGAUAGGAGCUCCUGCUGCAUGGUGGGGGUUGGAAAGUUUCGGCGGUUGGGGAUGGACUCGCGGCUUAUCAGCUUGGUGGUGGGGUAGUGGCUUACCAAGGCUUUGACGGGUAGCCGGCCUGAGAGGGUGACCGGCCACAUGGGGACUGAGAUACGGCCCAGACUCCUACGGGAGGCAGCAGUGGGGAAUAUUGCACAAUGGGCGGAAGCCUGAUGCAGCAACGCCGCGUGCGGGAUGACGGCCUUCGGGUUGUAAACCGCUUUCGCCUGUGACGAAGAGUGAGUGACGGUAAUGGGUAAAGAAGCACCGGCUAACUACGUG